rnacentral:rRNA from 1 species
UACGUAGGGUGCAAGCGUUGUCCGGAAUUAUUGGGCGUAAAGAGCUCGUAGGCGGUCUGUCGCGUCGGCUGUGAAAACCCGGAGCUCAACUCCGGGCCUGCAGUCGAUACGGGCAGACUGGAGUUCGGCAGGGGAGACUGGAAUUCCUGGUGUAGCGGUGAAAUGCGCAGAUAUCGGGAAGAACACCCGUGGCGAAGGCGGCACUCUGGGACGGUACUGACGCUGAGACGCGAAAGCGUGGGGAGCGAACAGG